UCUUUACCUACUAAUAAACCACCGAUUGCUUCUGGUCGUCUGUCGUCGCACGUUUUGCAGAAAAGCCCCGCAGUUUCCGGGAAAUCAACCCGCGGUCCCGAUUUAAGUGUAUCUGGAAAAACGUUUUGAUUUUACAAAUUGACCCUUAGAUUUAUUAGAAUUCCACUCGCGCUCCUUUUUAACUGAGAAAACGCCCGGGCUCCAGGCGGGGCGAGGCGGGGCGAGGCGGAGGGCAGCCAAGCGCGGGGGAGAGUGGAGAUGCCGCCGACGGCUGUCGGGAGGCUCGCUGGGACGUCGGCAAGGUGGCGGCCCCGGUGUGUGAAGCGGCGGGCAGAGCACACGCGAGGUCGGCCAGGAGGAGGAGCUGGGAGGAGAGCGAGCGGCGUCAUGGCGAUCUCGUUGGCGAGCGACAGGAGGACGACGACGAGCUGAGCCGGAGGAGGGUGAGGCGUCCACGUUACUUUAAGUGCAAAACAGAGAAAAACGCACACACCUGCACAAGCACGGGCUCUCCUCCUCGCGUACGGGUACGGCGCCGCCGCCGCCGCCGUCUUGCGCUGCCGCGCUGAGCAGAGGCCGUGAUGGCGAGGCGGCCCUACCUCCGGCAGCGCUCCUCCCGGACCAGACCCAACCCCCGCACCACCAGCUUGACCUCCUAUUUCCUUCCCAACGGCCGGCACAGCCCGCCCUCCUCUCCGACUUCUGUCAUGGAGAACCCUCCUCUCCGACUUUCGGCCUCUCCCGGACCUCUGGCCGGUGCUGCAGGACGUACACAAUACCUGCCCUCCAUGCCAUUGCAACUUGCAGGCGCGAAGUCCAUCGCCUUGUCUAUAUCCAGCGGCCAUCUACACGGCUGCACGCCAACUGUUCGGUCAAUUGACCCAACAGACAUGAGGUAAUUUUCUGCUUUUUUGUUCCUUCGGUGUUCCAUCCAACAGUAAUGUGAAAGUGUUCAUUCAUAUACUACUCAUGUUCUGUACAUUUUGAUUCAUUAUAUAUUAGCGUAGAGAAUGGAGAGAAAGAGGAGAUGUUGUCUUCAGCACGAUACUGAACUAUUGAACCAACAUGAAGAUGAGUGUAUCCUGCAAGAGGAGAUCCUGGCCACCGUCCUGUGCCUCGGCGACCAGUAUGACCACGUCCUCACAUGCCUCCUCCUGGCUGAUCCGUUGCCAGCAACUGUCAUCUUCCCAAAAUUUAAAUGGACAUUUGGAUAUUCUUAAUUUUCUUUCUUCUGAAAUGAACAUAGCUGUGAGUUUUUUCUUGGGUGGAAUCAAAUUCUGAUGGAAUUUACAAUAUACUUUGCAUUGGCUCUUACACAUCUCGACGACCCAUAUCGAGCGCUAAAUCCAGGAAAACAGUCCCGCCCCGCUGCCGCUCCCCAUCGGUCAGCCUUUUUGUUUCUCAUUCAGAGCUCAGGAGUUCAGUAAUAUGAAUUUAUUAUGUGGCUAAUUUUCCAUAUGAUUUUAUUGCUCUUGAAGGGGAUUAGAAGCUGCCUCACUGGCUAGAAUCACAAAGUAUUAAUUUUUCUUUUGGAUAUGGGCAUAUUGCUAUCGGGAUGUUAGAAAGAGAGAACAUAAUAACAGAGAUGUACAGUUUUGAAUUUGCGUUGUAUUUUCUCACCACAUGUUACGCAAAUGAUAGUGCACUUUUUUCACUAGAUGUUCACAUUAUUUGGUAGCCAGUUCCAGGUUUCUUCUUUUUAAUUAAUGUUGCUACUUGCUACUAUUUGUUUGCUCUUACUGUUUCCUUUCUUGAAUAACCGAUCAGUGUACUGCACUAAUGUUGUAACUGAAUCAUUGUUUUCUGAGAUGGCAAUAAAGUCAGAUACUUUCACAAAGUGAUGGAUUGUUGGAAUGUGCAUUGUUGUUGUCACUUUUACAAGUUGAAGCCCCAUUCAGAGGUGAUUAUUGGUUGCUAUAGAAAUUCUAGGAAAGCUAAUUCUGGGAGUGAACCAUGAAUAUUAUCGGGGUCGGAUUAAAUGAAUGUUGUGUGCUAACAUGGUGCACCGCUGGAGAUGUAUUUAGUAUUCGCUUCUUGAACCUGGCACUUGAAAAGUUAGUUGACACAUAUCUAUGAUAAUAUAAGAAGUAAUAAUUAUCUCACAAUAGGAAGAAGUAAGCCCUGUUGCCGGUGGACUACUGGACGUCGAUAUAUCAAUACGGUCUCCUACAACCGCUGUAGAGGAGCGAAAACUUGCAGCAGCAUCUCCGACACCCUCCUGACCAUGACCCCUUCGCAAGAAAGGUUCAGCUGAUAAGACAAUUAUUUUUUGGGACCUUGGGACUUUUCACUUGAUUGGAUCCUCUAGACAGGAGGUAUAAUAGUAUCUCCUAUAAUUGUCUAAAUGGUGUUCAGAAAGCUCAGGCUCUACUCAUUUAUUUCUCCCAGUUCAUGAUGUCUUUGUAUUCAAAUUGUGAGAUAAUGUAGUUCUAUAAACGCUAUCAGUAUGCAGCCAUCCAUCAGAAUUAUGCCCUAAACUGCAUCUGAUCAUACGCUUGGCUUUAGCUUGAUUUAAUUUUCAAGCAAACUUCAACCAGCGAAGAGCAUGUCUGAAUUCUACUAGCUCAACAGCAGUUUGGAACUCAGCAGGAACUUGCAAUUUCCAGUUCCCAGAGAGGCAGUUACCUUAGUCACUUAAAUUAGCCUUUUGUUUGUUUCAUCACUGCAAGGCAGAAGUAAUUUCUGGUGCCAAAAAAAUCCUGUCUUUUUUGCAGAUGCGAGCUUCGUUUCUAAUUGGCCAUGAUGCUGGGCUCACUGUGUCAAUUGGAGUGUGCAUAGUAGUUUCUGAGCAUUUUGGUUUAGAGUUCUAUUUUUUUCGGCAACCUUCAAAACAGAGAGGUCGCAAUUCCAUUCAUAUCAAUUUAUGGACCAAUUUCUACCUUUUGGUCUCCACCCUGCUUACACUUUUCUGCAAUACCUAAUCCAACUUUGAGAUUCAACAACAAUUGUUUAGUGGAUGCAAGGUUUUUUUUUGGUAACAUUUUUCGAAUGGCGCAAAGUGUAUGACAUUACUGCUAUGCAUCAAAAUCAUUCAGCAGGCUUUAAGGUUUCAGAAAAAGGACGGUAUUCUCUUCACAAUGAACUUGGUCAAAGUACAUAAUGCAAUUUCUGUAUGUAGUGGAAUUUGUUAUCGGCUAGAGGGAGUUAUGGGUUUAGAGCUUAACAUAAUUACUUAUUGUCUAUUUAUUGCUACAGAUUGAAAUGUUUGCUUCUAGAUACUCAAGCAUGGGAGGCAGCAUGGAUUUAUUUACGAAGGGUGGCAGACACGACCAUGAGGUGUGCACACACAUUUACCUGCAUUGUUAUCUUGACCAUGGGAGCCAAUUCUAAUACAUGCCAACAAUAGAGAAAUGUAUGAUCAUGAGAGAAUGGAGUAAGGCUAUAGAAUUUGUGACUAUGUAUAAGGGCUCUUCACCAAGUGUGUGCACUGUACUUUAUGGAUUUUAUUUGUGAAUUUUUCCAUGAUAUGUUGCACAAAGUCGCAGAAUGUAAACAUGACCAAAUUAAUGUU